GCAUCGGUGGUUCAGUGGUAGAUUGCUCGCCUGCCAUGCGGGCGGCCCGGGUUCGAUUCCUGGCCGAUGCA
rnacentral:tRNA from 1 species